ACAUGGCAACAUGGUUUUUUAGGAGCCGAACUGGGACUUCUAUCGGCGAUGAACAAGUGGUUUUUCUGUUGUUAUUAUUUAUGUAAUCUGUACUAGUUAAUUAUUAGCGGCGGAGUGCAAUGCGGCGGAGUGCAUUCAGGAGCCGAACUGGGACUUCUAUCGGCGAUGAACAAGUGGUUUUUCUGUUUUUAUUAUUUAUGUAGUCUGUACUAGUUAAUUAUUAGGGGCAGCAUGGUCUUUUAGCAUGUCAUUUAUUAUCCUCUAGUCCAUAUUUAGUCCCUGGAAACAAACAGGUAGGGACUAGAGACUUUUUAGUUGGGACUAAAAAAAGUCCUAGGACUUUUUAAACAAACAGGGCCUAAGAGCGUUUAGAUCACUAGUAGUGAUCUAAAUGCAUUUAUAUUUCUUCACAGAGGGAGUACUAUAUUUUAUCUCAUGACAACUUAUUGUAGCUACGUACUUAGAUUUACAUCACGGAAGUCAGUCUUGCGCUCGUGGUAAAUUUGCAAUUUCCAUCAACUUGUUUUUCUAUGCAGCCCGACCUGGACGGAUCGACCGACCGACCGACCGAACCAGCUCCCCCGUCUCGUCCUCUGUUUCGUCUCCAGCGGAGCGGCGGUGCAGCCACUCCGGCGUGGCACGGCGACUCCAGCGGCUCCGGAGGCGCGGAGACCCCAGCCACCAGGAAGCAACCGCAGGCGGCUCGGCUACUCCGGCACUACGGGCGCCGCUAUUCCCCCAGCACCACGGGCCCGGCGGCGAAUCUGGCGAGCACGGGUGCCGCACCUCCGGCGACUAGAAUGUGGAAGAGAAAAGUUCAUCCUGAAGCAGUCAGCGACAAAUAUUUAGUGGAAUGCCCAACGAAUGGAGGGAUAUGAAGGUUACUUCUCUGUUCUUUAAUGUUCAGAGUCAACAAGAAACUUACUGAAUUUUGUAUGUCAUAUGAUUUUCCUGAUGUCUGCUUCAAGCAAGUAUGUUUGGACAGGUGAAAGACUGGCGUUCCUUCCUGUGGCUGGACAAGUAGUUGGGCAUGGUCGACGAAAUUUGGAUGAUAAAUGUGCUCAUCAUGGGCAAUGCGGCUGCUCGUAGCUUUCACGAGAAAUGCAGCGAAGCAUAUAUGCUACAAGCGCUGAAAUUGAUGCUACAAUAGCUCAACUUGAUGCUAUUAGGAUUGAGACUGCAGCACUGGAUCGACGAAUCGAGAAGUUGGCCGCCCAAAAUGCAAAGCUUCAGGUUUUUGUGUACUUUCUUUUCGUCAUUCUUCUUCUAGUGUUGCUAGCGAAGUGGAAUAUCCGCGCAAUUGAUCGUGGUCGCCAUCCUGUAUGAGACGGUGCUCGGUCUGUCAAAUGGGACGAACAUGUCGGGCUGGUUGGUUCUGUUGAGAUAUGUAGAGUUUGGAGAAAUUGCAAAUUUACCAAGGGGCAAGACCUUCAUUUCACGUGGUAUUAGUAGGCUCAGAAUUUUGAAAUUAUUCAAGUAAUUAGACAGGGCAAAUGACCAAGAAGGCAAAGAAAAUGAGGGCAUAUAAUCCCCUGCAAAAAUAAAAUAAAAUAAGGGUACAUGAUCGAAUCUCCCUGAAGACUUCCGUGUCCUUAUCCCAGAUGGCUUUGGGAAAAGAUAAAUGCAGUGGCAAAAUAAGAAACAAACUGACUGGUUGCAUACUCUCAACAACAACAAAAUGAAUAAAUUGUUACUUCGGCAAAUAUUAACAAGCUAACUGUCAAAUCGAAAUGUCGCUUCAUUUAUCAACAAAAUGUAUUUUUACGGGACUCUUCUAAGUUCAAACAUAUAGAUCUGUUCAGUGAGGAUCCAUAGUUUCCUAUUUAUUCAAAUGCAUGCUCCAAUGCCAUUUAAGUAGUUGUGUUGUCUUAUCGUUUGAGUUUUUUCUUUUCCAGAUUCUCGCUGAUCCCAUUCAUUUGAAAAGCCGAACGAUGAGAGUGCUCUAAAAUUGAUGAAUGCUUCUGCUUCUCUUAUGAUGGAGUGAUUCCCUGAUAUCAUCUUUGGCUAUGGUUUUAGCAACUGGUACAGUUAGGAUAUACCCCGUCAGAAUCACUGUUUUUGCAAGGAGAGAACAUGUGUUUCCGCAUGGCGCAAAUUUUCCUCUUCUCAUCAGCAGAAGUGAUUUGAUUGAAUUUAUUGGAAUGAUAAGAUAUCUUGUUAAAACCGUAAUAAAUUAACCAUCCAAUGAAGCUGUAAAUGUGAACCUGGGACACUUAAGUUAAGUGGGUGUUUUUAUGUUUGCUGGAUGGCUAACCUAUGCAUUUGUUGCAGAUGAUCAUAUUUAUUUUUUGUUAUUGUUGCAGCUUUGUGUUCCAGGAGAACACUGAAUUUUAUCAGAGAGAUGAGUGAUUAAUCCUUUCUUCAUGGUCACCAUGUCUCACUUCUUUUUACAUGAUGAAGUGGAAAGAAUAUUUCCCAAAUAAAGAAUUAGUGCAGCCACCACAGUUUGAAGCAGAGGUUCUAUGUUACCCAAAGCCAGAGAUUGUUUGUGAUUAUUUGUCAUGGAGACAAGCAGAAUGCCACAACAGAAACCAGUACAACACAUGCUUUUGGAUACUGGUGAAGUCCGGAAAAGGUGAAGGUGAAGGCGAAGCUCAUGGAUACUGAAGGGAACAUUAUCAACGGACAAGAACAAUUUGCUCUUUCAGCGGUUUCGGAUGAACUACAACAACGACCCGGGGAUUUUCCAGAAGGGUUCGUGUACUUGCCAGCAAAAGGUAUUCUGUUCAUCAUCCGAGAGAUGUUUUCCAACAGCAAUGAGAUGUACUGCUAUGAUGAAAAGAAGAUGAUUCUCGUAGCUUGCACCAGUUUCUCCGCUAAUGGCCUACAGUGCAGGUGGUCCAAACCACAACCUCGAACUUGCUUAACCGUCUAAAUCUCCCCCUAACCUGCUUAGACCGAUUUUGGUCUCGGUUCUCUUUUCUUCUUUCUCCUCUCCCUCUCUCUGCCAGCCCAUGCCCUUGUUAAGAGGCAACUUGCUGCCGCUGGUGCUCAUACAUCUGCCUGCCGUGAGCGGCGGCACUUCCUCACCUCUCCCACUCAUCCUCGCACACCCUGCCGCCACUGCUCCUGCGUUUGGUGACGUCGGCCCACUGCUGCUCGCCGCUCACGGUUAUGCUUUCCCAGCUCUCUUGCUCGUCUGAACUCCCCAUGACAUGACCUGUUCUUCCCACCGGCUCCGAGCUCCAGGUAUUUCAUCCUUCAACCGGCUACAUCUUCUGUGUUGGAUGUCAUGUGGAGUUGUUUUGAAGAAAACUGGACUAAAAGCCAGUUUAACUGGGUUAGGGGUGGGGGUGAUUUUGGGUUUAGCGAGUUUGAGCUUGUGACAACUCAAGUAUAGGGGGCCAAUGCGGACUUCUCUCUUCCAACAAGAAUGAGAAGAAGAUGGUUUCUCUGCCAAUGGCCUAGAGUGCAGUGCAGUUGGGAGUGUUCGCAGAGGUGGAAGACGGCGGAGAUGUGAUUUCGCCGGAGAGCGACGGGAGGUAGGGCCCGAUAGUGAUAGUUUUGGAGAACGAUAUCUUUAACCGGAACCGGAAAUGAUGUGUUUCUUUUAAGAGGGGAAAUGAUGUGUUUCCAAACGACAUGGUUUUUUUUUUCUAGACGACACGGUUGGUAAAAAGGACGUCGGGCGUUCGACCGACUUCCCGUCCGUACGUAAAUAAGUGCCUUUUUAUUUCACGCGCGCCUCGAUUGGGCCUCGCACGCGCGCCGGCCCAUGCGGGCGAGACCGCACGGUUCUUUGAUUAGUCCCACAUCGCCCGUUGUGGGACGGCAUCGCCAGUUUAUAUACUGCGUUGGCUAUCAUGGUAUCACCUCCACUGGGAUAACAGACUGAGAGAAAAAAAAGAGGGCUUGGAGCCCAAAAAAAGAGAGAAAAGAGGCCUUAGAGCUUAGAGCCCAAGAGAAAAAAAAGGAAAGUGGCCUUAAAAAGAAGAAAAAGAGGAGCCCAAGAAAAAAAAAAGAGGCCUUAGUGCCCAAAGAGGCCAGAGCCGAAAAAUCCCCAAGGCCGCGUGCCCACACAAAAAGACAAGAAACGGUGUGUGUACCCAUGGAAGGUUGUGCUAGACAUUAGCACAUGGCUUUUU